CCAGUCAUCAUUUGUAACCAUCUGAUAGAGAAAAUUUACUUUACAAUACAUAGAAAACAAUAUAUUAAUGUGUAAUGUAACAUUACACAUUUAUAUCCCAGUUUCAAUGGGAAAACAAUACACUUUCAAACUAUACUUUGUGAAGCCAUUAUUAGAGAUACAACUGCCUUUCUGAGCAUGCCUAUCAUCUCUUUCCAUUAUAUUAAUUCUAUGUUCUACAGUACAAUGCAAAAAGAAAUCCUCUCUGUGGAAAAUCUAUCAUAACAUUUUGAAAGGGCUCCGAUGCCUUUUUAGGCCACAGCUUUUGCCAAUUGCACAAAUUCAAAGCCCAUUUUUCAGUUACGGACUGUGCUUUCAGCGUGAUGAAAAUGACACGUGUGGGGACACUGGAAAUGACAGAAAGCAAUAUCACACAAGAAAGUGGAAAGAAAUGUUUAUUUUCUGAGUUUUUAUUUUCUGAGUUCUUGCACCGCUUGACAAAAUAAAAUUUUAAUUCAUGGAAGAGAGCAGAAAGUUCAGUAAUAGCACCUUUAAACAAUUUAGUGUUGAUUACUUGAUGAUGAGAAAGGAGAAAAAUAAUUCAACGAAAGCAUAUGAAACUGAGGAUUCAGAAGAAGAGAAGAGUAAGGGAUGUUUCAUGUUGCACUGAAAACCAUUUAGAACUUUGCGUGAUUCUGCAAAGAUUUCCUUACAUUAUUCAUCUGCUUUCCUCAGGCCAUUCAAUCAACUCCCACAAGUGAACACAAGUAAAUAAUUGCACUUAAAUUCACACAUGCACGUCAGCACUCCAAUGAUGAUCUUGCACACAGAGCAUUGCAUCCAGCUGAGAUGCACUGAGACUGGAAAAAUCUGAAAGAGAUAAAAUUCAGUCAGAAAUUAUCUUUCCGUUUAUCACUGUACAAAUUCAGUUACUUAUCCAUAAACUUAACGUUAUAAAUAACCAAAGCCCCAUCAGAAUGCACGACACUAGGAAAUUAUUCAGAUUACUAAUUUAUACUGUAUUGUAGUCUGUUGGGCAUUUCAAUUGGCAAUUUUUAUAAAUCUGUCUAGACUUCUCAGCUUUUCCUUUUUCUCCCUUUAUGAAAUUUUCUAUUUGUUUCCUCAGUUCACUUCUCUGUGGCCCGUCCACAUUUACCUCCUUUCAAUAACUUAAUUCCCACCUUCAUGAGUGAAGCACCAUUAUGCUUCUUGUUAGGAGGAGCCUGUUUUAACUUCACGCUUCGUUACAGAUUCAUGGAAUGGCUUCUGAAAUUCUUAAAGAAGAGACUCACUCGAACAGAUCAAAAGCAGAGGGAAACAAGCUCCUUUUCAAAGAAAAGAAGGCAUUGGCAGGCAGACUGUCUGAUUUACAUCCAUAAUAAAUACAUCCAAAAAUAAAAUUAAAAAAAGGUAUCGUGUGCUGCCUUCAGGAAACAUUGUCUUGUUGGGGGUGGAGUGGAUGAAAAGGCUUUAACCAGCCUUCUUGAUUAAAGAUCACUUUAUAACCAAAAAAGAAAAGAAAAAAAAAAUCACAUUUAGAAGUGAACUAGCAGUUCUACUAGUGUUUUAAGCAGCCCUUUUUCUAUCCUCUAAUUUUCAGCAUCUCAUUAGAAGAGUAGUAAAUGGUUUAUCACCACUUGAGAAAAUGUUGAGAUGAAGCAAGCGUUUCCACUGGAGAAAAACUCAGGAUCCCUCAGAAACAUCACCAGCAUGUUACUGUACGUCAGCCAUGCCCACAGUGGUUAGUUUUCUUAUCUGGAAUCCAAGUUAAACAGACUCAAGUGCCUGUCUGAAGUAGGCUGAUUUUGGCUGGCUCUUUUUUUCUCCAUUUAGACGAGAAGUUAUGUAUUGGAUGAAGCAAAGAUUACCAGUGAAAGUCAUUUGAAAACAUUCAUUUUUACAAGUUGAACAUAGAGAAGAAGAGAAAGGAAGGAAAUGGUUUUAGUGGAACAUUUUUCAGCAAUGGUCCCGUGUGGAAAUAUUGUCAACAAUCUGCAGUCUGAAGUUGGCUGUCUGAACCUUGCGUUACAAGACCGAGAUUCUGCUGGCUUUGGGUACAUCUCUGAAGCCACGUAUAACCUACAGUCACAGCAUCUUUUAUUAGAGAGAAAACUGCUGACCACAACCUCUUUGAUUAAAUUUGCAUGAUUCUUAAUGUAAUCACAUUUCCCACAUAUAUACACAUCAUAAAUAACAGUGUAAAUUACUCCUCCCCUACCCUCCCCCUUUCUCCCCCCCCCCCCAAAAAAAAAAAAGAAUGGAUAGCAAUUGGAUCCUGGAAAAAAGAUGGUCAGCCAAAUAUCUUUCUGCUGUCUGGAAAGCUUAUUACUGCCUUCAAGAAUUUGGAGUUAAGCUCAGACACUGCAGAAGCUGUGGAACAGAGUACAUAGGAUUUCAAGGAAGAAAGGUUAUUUUCAAGCAUAUGAGGAAAACAACAUUUUUUCCUCUGAGCUGUGGCUAGACAACCUCUAUUAGAUCACUCAAAUGACUGUGAAAUUUGUGCAUCCCUUCUAAAACAACUUCUUGAAAUUGCUGUAACGAUCAAAAGCCCAGAGCAGUAAUGCUGACAAACGCACACCUUUGUCUCAUCCACCUGGCAGCACAUGUAAAACACACACUGAUUAUCAUUCAUACAGUCUAUUCUCUUCAGCAUCUUAAAACGUCAUUCUUUCGUUUAUCAUGUUUCCUCUUUUUAGCAAAAUUCAGUGUCUGUAGAGGCACUGUGAAGAUCAGUUGCCUUGGUUUUACUCCGGGUGACAGUCAUCCCUUUUACUGCUUAUUUAGUACCACACAAUUCAAAAGAACUGCUGAACAAAUGCUCUUUCCUGGUACAGGAUACACUUUGCCAUUUUUACUCUUCUGAUAACACAGGUAGUGGAUGUUUCUGAAAAACAACUUCAUUAGUCCCUAAAAAAUAUCACAUUUUACAAAAUCCAGUCCUUCGUGAACUUUGUUACCAGCGUUUAACCACAUAAGCAAAAACAAACAAACAAAAAAACCCAACAAUGCAUAAAAUAGGACAUUAAUGGAAAAGCUACCAGAAGAAAGGGUGACCUCCGAUGCUGGAAAUCACUGGAGGCUUCCCCAGUUCUGCACAGAUAUGUUACAGAGUGCUUCACUCGAGACAUUUAAUUCUGUCAUCUUUAUUCUUAAAGGCGUAUUUAGAUGUAUUUUAUACAUACAUAUCACUAUAAGGCCAAGCGGAAGACAGGUGAACUGGACUACACAUCAAUUUUCAAAAUGAAGACUAAUCACAAGAAGUUUCGUAUUUUACUAAAUAGGCUGAAUACUGUUCUACUGUUUUGUCAGUCUCCAGCAGAAAGUAACUUGUUCAGUGAAAACAAGAUUGUCAGGGUUUUACUCAAACCACAACAGUGUCAAAACAAUGAAGGAACACAAUUUUAUUGUGGAUCAAAUACAUAGACUUCAUUUGCUAAAUAGUUCCCUUGAUUUUCCUCAUUCUCACUCAAUUUUAAUGUGACACAAUUAACUUCACAUUCCUUUCACAAAAAGAAAAAAGUUAAGGACCUAAAAUUGAAGUAACAUCACCUGUUAGUCUGCCAAGGUUGGAAUUCUCUUACACAUCAGCUGAUCUCCAGUAAAGUCUCACUGCUUAAUCAAGAAAUAGAGACAGAAUAUAUCCUUCUGCUUCCCCACUGCAUUUUAAUACAAGACACCUAUGAAAACCUCCAGCUAUGUCACGAGGCAUAUCUAGACAGUUCUGCAUUCUGUGUUCAAACCACAAUUUAGCAGGAACCCUUUCUGUUUCCGUGAACAAUUCACCAGAGUGAAAUGAAUGAAAUACUAAAGUAAAAACAAUAUCAGUACAGCUUCCUUAAAAAUACAGGUGAGUCCUCCUAACUUUAACCUCAUGCAUUCAAGGUCACAAAAAGCAGAGUUCAACACUUCAGCCAAGACAAGCACAGGGAAGCUUGUAAGUUCCCAGUUCCAGCUAGGAUAUCACAUCAAACUAUGGACAGAGUUUAAGAGUUAAAGUAACUCAACCAAAGCUGUGACAACAGCAGUAACAGCCUUGACAUAUAAUAACAGUAGAAUUUAGGAACCUACAGCUGGAGACACGCUGAAGAUUUCACCGUGGAUUUAAGACCAAACAUUUAAAUCCCUUUCUCGUUUAAAGCUAAGAAGACACAUCCGUGGGAUUCAUUUCUUCCACUGACCUCAAUGACACUGAAUGACCUAAAGCUUUAAUGGGGAAAAUGGUCUAAGUGUCAAAUACUAGAUGAUAAUAAAUAAUAAUCAUAAAAGCAUUUCAGUGGCAGAAAAGCUAUGGUAUGCUUUUAGAAUGCAAACAAAAAUAAUUAAAAAUAAUAAUCAUCUGUGGCACAGGACCCAAAGAGACCUUCUCCUCACAAUUUCACACAACAGUUCUCUCACCAGCUCUUAACUCAUCUACCUACAUAAAUCACUUUAAAAUCGUCAGAUAUUUGUACACUGAACAGAAAUGAUAUCGUACAUCUAAAUAAAAAUCACCAGCAGUAGGGGUAGAAACUAAAUCCAUGCCCUAUGUAACCUUGUGGUACCAUGGGAAUCCAUGUAUUGACAUGCGAGACAACUGAAUGUUUAUUGACUUACUGCUGCAUUGCAACAGAAGUUUUUCUUUCAACCUUACUGUUUUCAUUCACAUUUAUUUAAGCAAUCCAGAAUAUACACCCAUGCAUUUCUCCACCUUUCCACUCUGAAAAUGGCUUAGGCAUAUAGUAACUCUGUUUCAUCAUACCCCUUUAAUUUCAAGCAGCAGAUUCUGAAUUGUUCCUAUUUUAACUCAUCAUUGCAUAUAAUUUCCAUAUAUUUUCAUUUUGUAGAGAAGAAUUAUUUGGUAGUUUUACAUCUUGUGGCUUUUUGCAUAGAACUGUUUCUUUAUUAUGAAAAAGGGGUUUGCACUCCCUGCUGUGUACAGCUAAUAAAAGGUCUACUGAAGUUCUAAACAAAACUAUGUCUUGCAUUUUAAGGGCUACAAUUGCCAGCUUUGUUUGAGUAAUUGUACAGGGGCACAUGGAAUCAAAACACUCAAUUGGGAACGUUGUAUAUAGUCGGAGAAUAAACUGCAACCACAGCAGUUUAAAAGCAGCCUAUUCUUGUGCCUCUGUAGCUAGAUCUUUGCUUCAAUGUGCUCUCCCCCCCACCCCCCAGCUGUUUUGAAGAGGCCUGACAGACCAGAUCUCUCUUGAUCAACCCAGAAACUAACAUCGUUUCAGUUGGCUGACAGAAGAUAAAUUUCUUUUGGUCCUUGUCUUGAUACUCACUUGCUGCAGAGGGUAGCUCAGGCUCACCCACUUGUUGACUUUCUUCUCAGGACUACUGCCAUAUCCUCAGAGAUAUAAAUAAACUCCUAGUUCUCCAUUUCUGAUUUUAAAGGAUCAGGUGAGGUUGUGCUGGGAGAAGGACACCUAAAGAAGAAACCAAACAGAAACACCACACAUUUGUGUACCUCAUCUCUUUUUAAAGAGU
ensembl:lncRNA